CAUGGAGGAUCAUGAAUGGGAGAGGAUGAAGAAGAAGGAUUCUGGGGCAAGAGAAUUACUGUGGUGAGGAUGCCCAGGAGCUGGAUGGGCCAGGGCAGCAUGCCAUCCUCCUUACAGAGGGAUGCCAGGGGUUGUCAGAAGAGCUCCCUGCUGCAGCUGGAGCACACCUGGCCUGGGACCUGAGCAGCAGCCCCUGGGCUCCACCACAGAGCAAAGGCCCAGCACAGCCACUUCCUCCUCUUGCUCCUGCUGAUCCCUCCUGCUGCAGAGGAGCACUCACCUUUAUCAAAAAGGAUCGUUACCUGUUGAAGGAGUCUUCAGAGAAAAUGGGAUGAUGAUUUUUAAUAUUAGUAAUAAUAGUGAAUUAGAAUCUGAAUCUGUUGAUGUGAAAUUAAAGACAACAGAAGACAAUGAAUAGAGGCUUACACACACUUUUUAGUUUUGUGAUUCACGCUACCAACGUGAGGCCUUCUGUGUUCAGGCUUGAGAUAAUUCUACAGCUUAGUUUCUUUUCCUGCUGCUUAGAGGGAUAUUGACUUUAAUAAAACCAGUGGUCAUAAGGCAGGCACACGUACCUAUAGAAGGAUUCUCUUUUUUCAUUCACUAAUGCAUGGAAAAGAAGGUGGUUUACAUGGGAUCUUUUUGUGAGCUCUACUACUCUCCAUUCCAGAA